UACGUAGGGUGCAAGCGUUACUCGGAAUUACUGGGCGUAAAGCGUGCGCAGGCGGUUGUUCAAGACCGAUGUGAAAUCCCCGGGCUUAACCUGGGAAUGGCAUUGGUGACUGCACGGCUAGAGUGUGUCAGAGGGGGGUAGAAUUCCACGUGUAGCAGUGAAAUGCGUAGAGAUGUGGAGGAAUACCGAUGGCGAAGGCAGCCCCUGGGAUAACACUGACGCUCAUGCACGAAAGCGUGGGGAGCAAACAGG
rnacentral:rRNA from 1 species